AGAGCGAACGCUGGCGGCAGGCCUAACACAUGCAAGUCGAGCGCCGUAGCAAUACGGAGCGGCAGACGGGAGAGUAACACGUGGGAACGUGCCCUUCAGUUCGGAACAACCCAGGGAAACUUGGGCUAAUACCGGAUACGUCCGUAAGGAGAAAGAUUUAUCGCUGAAGGAUCGGCCCGCGUCUGAUUAGCUAGUUGGUGAGGUAACGGCUCACCAAGGCGACGAUCAGUAGCUGGUCUGAGAGGAUGAUCAGCCUCACUGGGACUGAGACACGGCCCAGACUCCUACGGGAGGCAGCAGUGGGGAAUAUUGGACAAUGGGCGCAAGCCUGAUCCAGCCAUGCCGCGUGGGUGAUGAAGGCCCUAGGGUUGUAAAGCCCUUUCGGCGGGGAAGAUAAUGACGGUACCCGCAGAAGAAGCCCCGGCUAACUUCGUGCCAGCAGCCGC
rnacentral:rRNA from 1 species